rnacentral:rRNA from 1 species
ACUAGCAGUAAGAGUUUGAUCCUGGCUCAGGNUAAACGCUGGCGGCGUGCCUUACGCAUGCAAGUCGUACGGAGUUUCAGGCUUCGGCCUGGAGCUCAGUGGCGAACGGGUGAGUAACGCGUAAGUGACCUGCCCGAAAGUGGGGGAUAACCAGCCGAAAGGUUGGCUAAUACCGCAUGAGCUCACCGGUCCAAUCCGGUGAGGAAAGCCGCAAGGCGCUUUCGGAGGGGCUUGCGUUCGAUUAGCUUGUUGGUGGGGUAAUGGCCUACCAAGGCGACGAUCGAUAGCUGGUCUGAGAGGACGGCCAGCCACACUGGGACUGAGAUACGGCCCAGACUCCUACGGGAGGCAGCAGUGGGGAAUAUUGCGCAAUGGGCGAAAGCCUGACGCAGCGACGCCGCGUGUGGGAUGAAGGCCUUCGGGUUGUAAACCACUGUCGGGAGGGACGAAUGCGCCGCAAGGCGAGUGACGGUACCUCCAAAGGAAGCACCGGCUAACUCCGUGCCAGCCGCCGCGGUAAUUC